rnacentral:rRNA from 1 species
CAGCCGCCGCGGUAAUACGUAAGGGGCGAGCGUUGUCCGGAAUUAUUGGGCGUAAAGGGCUCGCAGGCGGUUUCUUAAGUCUGAUGUGAAAGCCCACGGCUCAACCGUGGAGGGUCAUUGGAAACUGUUAAACUUGAGUGCAGGAGAGAAAAGUGGAAUUCCUAGUGUAGCGGUGAAAUGCGUAGAGAUUAGGAGGAACACCAGUGGCGAAGGCGGCUUUUUGGCCUGUAACUGACACUGAGGCGCGAAAGCGUGGGGAGCAAACAGGAUUAGAUACCCGCGUAGUCCCUGUCUCUUAUAC